GUGAACGCUGGCGGUAGGCCUAACACAUGCAAGUCGAACGGCAGCACAGUAAGAGCUUGCUCUUACGGGUGGCGAGUGGCGGACGGGUGAGGAAUACAUCGGAAUCUACUUUUUCGUGGGGGAUAACGUAGGGAAACUUACGCUAAUACCGCAUACGACCUACGGGUGAAAGCAGGGGAUCUUCGGACCUUGCGCGAUUGAAUGAGCCGAUGUCGGAUUAGCUAGUUGGCGGGGUAAAGGCCCACCAAGGCGACGAUCCGUAGCUGGUCUGAGAGGAUGAUCAGCCACACUGGAACUGAGACACGGUCCAGACUCCUACGGGAGGCAGCAGUGGGGAAUAUUGGACAAUGGGCGCAAGCCUGAUCCAGCCAUACCGCGUGGGUGAAGAAGGCCUUCGGGUUGUAAAGCCCUUUUGUUGGGAAAGAAGAGCAGCAGGUUAAUACCCCGCUGUUCUGACGGUACCCAAAGAAUAAGCACCGGCUAACUUCGU
rnacentral:rRNA from 1 species